GGAGAAGUGGGGAGAACAUCGGGUGGUGUUGGACAGGGGACAAAAUGGACAGUGAGACAGAGGACGACAACAACAGGGGUAAAAGUAAACGUCUGAUGAAUCAAAUGCAAACCUCCUUUCUGUAAUCAUCCAAUGUGACAGUUGCCAAAAGUAAUAGAUUAAUGAUUAAUGGACAGAUGGCAAUGAAGCCUUCUGGUCUCCUGGACCUGCUCUGGGAUGGUGACUGCUGGACACCAAGUCGAUCCUCGAGGAUCUGGAUUCCUUCCCUACGGCCAAACGGAUGCCCCUGUCCUUCCUCAGGACCUGUGGGCAGAACAUCUCAUGCUGGAUGGUGGAGACUUUGAUGUGGUCCUACAUGGUACUUAUCUCUGGUAGAUACAUGGUAGAAGAACUGAACUUGCGACGUAUACUUUGCCAAUUCAAGUAACAGCAAGUUACUGAAUUGAUUAAGAAGUAUUAAGAAAUGUGGUUCAAACUUAGAAAGUGCUUAGCCAAAAAUCAAUAAAGCAGUCACAAAUCAAUGCACCAAUCACGUCACUAUUACUGCAUAUUAAUACACGUUUUUACUUCAAAGGUAGCACACUUCACUAUUUACCAAGUUAAUCUAUGUUGUAUUUAAAGCUGAAUCAAAUCAUAUAUAACAAUCUUUGCAUAACUGUUUUGUAUUGCAGGCCAUGUGUCAUAUCAUGUAUAUCAUAUUGCCUGAGAGGGAGACAUACACACACCUAAUGAGCAGGAAAACAGAGAUGAGCUGCGUAAUAAUGUGACACACAGCAUUGUGCAAACGUCUCAGAAAAUGAUGAUCAAAUGAUCUUCAUGUUGGUGAAAAACUGUAUUAUGUCUGUAAAAGCAUUUCAAAAUCUGUCCUAGAAUGACUCCAGUAUUUGCUUGCAACAACACUCCAAUAUACCC